rnacentral:rRNA from 1 species
AGAGUUUGAUCCUGGCUCAGAGUGAACGCUGGCGGCGUGCUUAACACAUGCAAGUCGAACGAGAACGGAUUAUAGCUUGCUAUAAUUGUCAGCUAAGUGGCGCACGGGUGAGUAAUAUAUAGGUAACGUGCCCUAGAGAAGAGGAUAACAGUUGGAAACGAUUGCUAAGACUCUAUAUGCCUUUAAGACUUAAGUCUGCAAGGGAAAUAUUUAUAGCUCUAGGAUCGGCCUGUACAGUAUCAGCUAGUUGGUGAGGUAAUGGCUCACCAAGGCAAUGACGCUUAACUGGUUUGAGAGGAUGAUCAGUCACACUGGAACUGAGACACGGUCCAGACUCCUACGGGAGGCAGCAGUGGGGAAUAUUGCACAAUGGGGGGAACCCUGAUGCAGCAACGCCGCGUGGAGGAUGACGCAUUUCGGUGUGUAAACUCCUUUUAUAUGUCAAGAAAAUGACGGUAGCAUAUGAAUAAGCACCGGCUAACUCCGUGCCAGCAGCCGCGGUAAUAC